rnacentral:ncRNA from 1 species
AAUAAAAGCUAGGGGAGCUAUGAUUGGAUAGCUGAGAAGUAAAGCCAUAACUUUCAGACUCUAAGAACCUGAUUAAGAUAAUUCUUACGUAGGGAAGCUCGUAUAUUUUAAU